CUUUUAGAAAACAAAGCUUGCAACAAAUCUGAAAUUGUCUUUUAAGGUGAGAACUUCUGGCAUUCCCUAUCAGGGCAGAUUGCAGCAUUUGAAGUCAGCCUGAUAAAGAAAUUAAAAGUGGUGGUUGUUGACAUCAUCAUAACAUUCAUAUCCAAAUCUCAUCCAAAGAGGAGGUAAGGCGAAGUGUUGCUGACAAGUCAUCUGGACAACCUGCGUAAUGUAACAGACUUAAAAAUGCAUGCAGGCACACAACAGGAGGCUCUGUUGUUCAGGCCUAACUAGAUUGCUGAUGCUUCUGUUCCUCAGGAUUCUCCUUGGAUCAGAUGAGAGAAAGAAAAUGAGAAGAUGUGUGUGCUGA
rnacentral:lncRNA from 1 species